AUGCCAUGGUGAGGAUAUUUUCGCAACAAUUCCUUGAACCUUUCCCAUGCCUCAUACAAAGGAUCAUCUUCAAAUUGUUGAAAGGAAGUUAUCUCCUUCCGAAGCUU